rnacentral:rRNA from 1 species
AUUGAACGCUGGCGGAAUGCUUCACACAUGCAAGUCGAACGGCAGCACGGGGCAACCUGGUGGCGAGUGGCGAACGGGUGAGUAAUACAUCGGAACGUGCCCAAUCGUGGGGGGAUAACGUAGCGAAAGUUACGCUAAUACCGCAUACGAUCUACGGAUGAAAGCGGGGGAUCGCAAGACCUCGCGCGAAUGGAGCGGCCGAUGUCAGAUUAGGUAGUUGGUGGGGUAAAGGCUCACCAAGCCAACGAUCUGUAGCUGGUCUGAGAGGACGACCAGCCACACUGGAACUGAGACACGGUCCAGACUCCUACGGGAGGCAGCAGUGGGGAAUUUUGGACAAUGGGCGCAAGCCUGAUCCAGCCAUGCCGCGUGUGUGAAGAAGGCCUUCGGUGUAAGCACUUAAGUCGGGGAGGAAGGCCUGAUGGCGUAAUAUCCAUCAGGA